GGAACUCUGAACCUCCUAGUGGGGUGACCAGCUCUUAUAAUAAUGGUCAAUAGCAAAAACGGAAGCAUUUGAAGCCAUUUUUGGUCAUGAAGACGUAACAAAGACUUCCCCUUCCUAUCGUGUGACCUCCAAAAGAACAGGGUGCAGACCAGGGCUGAGAAGCCAAGCAGAAGAGGGGUGAAGGCAGCAGGCCUUAGACUGUACUUGGGAGCAACAAAACCAAGUGAGGGGAAACAAACAAAAAGUCUCUCUUCUGUAAACUCCAAGAGAAGUGUUAGAGAAGGGUCCACGGCUGCCACACCCAGCUGCACAGUCACUGGGAGAAUCAGUAGUCCCAAUUUUACUGUUCAAAACAGGUGAGGCCAGAGAGUACACAAGAUCAAAACCAUCACCUUGAAUAAGACUGUUGUGCACCUCAGCAGCGGGGGCUCGGGGGGGGGGGGUGGUGGGCGGGUGUCCAGAAGAUUCAAUGCACUGAACAGGGUGAGAGGUCAGAAGUCUCUACCUUUGACCUUGCAUAAGAUCAGAGUUCAAGGCCCAGCGCCCACAUCAGGCAGCUCACAAACACCUGUAGCUCCAGCUCCAGGGAAGUCCAAUGCCCUCUUCUGGCCUCCUCCACCAUUACGCUUAUACAUAAAUACCUAUACAUGGAUACAUACAUACUCAUAAUUAAAACAAUACCUGUUUAAAUUAAAGAGCAGGAUUCAGGUUGCAGAGAUGAAUCAAGACAUAGUUGUCUUGUUCCAUGAACUAUUUGUUACAAUGCAAGUUGUAAAAGAUUUACUUAUUUUGUAUAUAUGGGUAUGUAGCCUGCGUGUAUGUCUGGUGCCUGAAGAAGUCAAAAGACAGUGUCAGAUCUCCUGGAACUGAAGUUACAACUAGUUGUGAGGCGCUGUGUGGGAGUUGAGAGUCAAUCCUUAGUCCUCUGCAAGAGCAACAGUUGAGCCAUCCCUUCAGCCCCAGAUCUUGUUUAAAACAAGAGCACGUGUCAUUCCGAUUUUAAAGCCCACAUUAAACACACAGUUGAAAAGAAAUGUAUGAACAGUUGGGGGUUUACUGUGAUCUUGGGGAUUGUUUUCCCAUCCGUACAAAAUGAUCAACAGAGUUAACAGGGAGACAACUAGGAUGAGAAUUAUUAAUACCCGGGAUAAGAUCUCUUCAAUCUUAAAUCAAUAUUGCUCUUAAAUCAUUCAUGGCUUCGGGUAGCCACAGAGUAAUGUAUUCAUAUGUUUACACUGUCCUUGCCAUACUCGCUCACGCCGUCCCCAAGGCCUGUAUUUGAAUUCCUGUACAUUUGAAUUUCUCUUGAGUGGUACUCAGAUUCAUCUUUAUUGUCAGCUUGAUUGGUGCAGGAUCACCUUGGAAUCCCGCUUCUGCUCUGACUGUACUGACGCUUCCAGAGAGGAACGACUAAGGAGCAGAGGCCACCUCGGAUGUGGCUGGCACCAUCUCACAGGGCCCUGGGCUGACUGCAAAGGAGAAAGUCAAUCACAGAAGAAAUCUGGGUGGAACUAAAGCGAAGUAGGAACCUGGAGGCAGGAGCUGAUGCAGAGAACACGGAGGGGCGCUGCUUACUGACUUGCUCCCCAUAGAUUGCUCAGCCUGCUUUCUUAUAUAACCCAGGAAUGCAUCAGUCCACAAUAACAGUUCUCAACCUGUGGCUGGAGACUCCUUCACGGGGGUCGUGUAAGACCAUUGGAAAACACAAACAUUCACAUUACAAUUCAGACCAGUAGCAAAACUAAAAUUGUGAAGUAGCAAUGAAAACAAUUUUAAGGUCAGAAGUCACCAAAACAUGACUAAAGGUGUGGGAAGCCAUAUGUGCCGUUGCAGAGUGGCACUGACUACUGCUGGCCACCACGCAUAAGUUUGGACAAACAACCAAUGUGUACGUAUGCAGUAAAGUUUUUUGCAAAGACACUGCCUGGCCCGGGCAUGAUAAUGAGGCUUUGAGAGUAUAACCAAUCAGAUGUGAGACAUGCAAAUGAGGUAUGAUAAUGAGGCUCUGUGAGGUACAGAGAGAGAGAGAGAGAGAGAGAGAGAGAGAGAGAGAGAGAGUAGCCAAUCAGAUGAGGAACAUGCAAAUGAGGCAUAGUGCAUAACCAAUCCGGGUGUGAGACAUGCCUCUCCUAGGCCUAUAUAAGCAGCACCAGUUCUGGGCUCGGGGUCUCUUCGCCUCUACAAUCAAGCUCUCCCAAUAAACGUGUGCAGAAGGAUCCUGUUGCAGCGUCGUUACUGCUGGCCAGUCCGGCGCGCGCAAGAUAAAGGUAUUAAUGGUUCUAACAUCAAGAAAGUUGAGGACUGAUGGCCUACAGUGAGGUAGCCAGUCUCUUCAUCAAUCAUCAAUCAAGAAAAUGUACCACAGGCCAGUCUAGCGGAGGUAUUUUCUCAACUGAGGUUCCCCUUUGAAAGGUGACACUGGCUUGUGUUAAGGUGACAUAAAGCCAGCCAGCAUACCCACUCUACCACACCUUACACCUUUCAAUUGGGGGUUUCUUACUGAACCUGGAGCUGAGCUAGAGGCCAGCCAUCCCCGUGAGCCCCGUGAGAAGCAGAUGAUGCACAGUGGGUACAAGAUGAGGCUUUCAGGCCAGGAUGCCUAGUUAUGGGUGAGAACCAAGCAAUCGCUGACUCAGCAGCAUGUUCUCGUCCAAUCACACCCCUUGUCCGUAAGAUGAGAGGGCAGGGCCUGCUUCUAAGGACGGGUGUGUUCUUUAAAGGAAAUUAGAUGUACAAACUACCUUCAGCAGUGUAUGUGAGCUAGACAUGGUGACUCAUGACUAUAGUCCCAGCACUUGGGGAGCUGAAGCAGGAGGAUGGCUGUGAGUUUGAGGCUAGUCUGGACUACAUAUGAGUUUCAGGAAAGACUGGACUACAAAGAGAAAGAAAGAAAGAAAGAAAGAAAGAAAGAAAGAAAGAAAGAAAGAAAGAAAGAAAGAAGGAAAGAAAGAAAGAACAACAGAACAGAACAGACAGUUGGUUAUAGGUGCAUAAUUUUAAUCCCAGCAAGCAGGGAGCAGAGGCAGGAAGAGCUCUGUGGGUUCAACAUCAUCAACAAAGCAAAAGGGCCUAGCGGGUGGCACAUCCUGUGUUUCGUUUCUGUUGCUGUGAUAAAAUAACCAGACAAAAAGAAGAAACUUAAGGGAAAGGGGUUUAUUUUAGCUCAUAAUCUGAGGUCACAAUUCAUCACUUCAGGGACACCACAGUGGCAGGGCUUGAAGCUGCUUGUCACCACCUUAGUCAAGAGCAGAGAGAAGUAGGUGCCUGUGUACAUGGAGCUCAGCCCGCUUUCUCUAUUCUUAUACAACCCUGGCUCCUAAAUCAGAAAAUGGUGUGCCCAUCCACUCUGAGGCUGUGUCUUUCCCACAAUGGAGACAAUUUCCCCUGCCGUACACACACACACACACACACACACACACACACACACAUACACACACACACACACACACAGGCGCACGCACACUCUCACAUGCCAACCUGAUCCAGAUAGUACCUUAUUGAGGCUCUUCUCAGGGGACUAGAUUGUGUCAAGUAGACAAACUAACUACCACACUCAAUAUUCAAAGAGGCAAGAGAUUCUAUUAAAGAUGAUUCUUAGCUACAAAGCAAGUUAAAGCCAGCCUGAGCUACAUGAGACCAUGUAUUAAAAAAAAAAAAAGUUCAAUUUCUGGGAAAGCAUAAGCCACCCACACCUGUCCAAUUUUUUAAUGUUGCUCCAUGAUAGUAACCCAUUCAGUUUCCACUGGAACAUUGUGCAGUUGAGUCCAUCCCCACAAAAAAUAAAUACCUCUUAACAGUGCUUUAAGUAGGUUUAUGACAGUGUUGAGCUAUGUUCCUAGCUAUCCUUGGCUAUACAUGGCCCACAGGCUGCACAGGGCUCACACUCCUCCCACAGGCUGCACAGGGCUCACACUUCACCCACAGGCUGCACAGAGCUCACACUCCUCCCACAGGCUGCACAGAGCUCACACUCUGCCAAUAGGCUACACAGGGCUCACACCAGAUUCUGUUAUAGGGAAGACCCAGAGAGAAUGACUACAGCCCAGCACUCACUCCCAAUUUUACCUUUUACCAGCCCCUUGAGCCCACUUUAGGCCCUGACUCUGACCUCCAUCGUCCUGGUUUUAAUUAGCUGAGCAGUGCCUAGCUGGGUCCAUGGUGCUGGGUAUAACCUCAAAGGGCUGUGCUCUUUCUCCACGAGAACUAUAAUUGCCACCCGGGCUCCCCAGCCAUCUCCUUUCCUUUCUUCUUUAUUUCCUAUUGAGAAAGGGAUUUAAACUGAGCAGUUUGGGUUGAAGUCACACGCCUGGCUCCUCUUCUCUAAAUAGAAAGCCAUCUCCCUUGCGGGCUUGUUUCCGAAAUUAAAGGGACGCCCGCCAUACUUUGUUCAGUUUCUCUCCACUUCUCCACCCAGGGCUCCUGUCUAGGAUGAGAGGAAGCAGCUGAAAGGAGAGGUGCACCCAUGUCCUCUGGGAUCAAAACCUGCCAACAUCUCUCCUCCUCAGCUUAGCCCGGAGUCAGGUGCCCUGGACUCUAAUGUGAAACCAGCCUACCUCUGAGCAUCUGAAAAGGAGACUCCUCGCCCUCCCACAGCAGGUUCCAGCCUGUGUACAACCAGGAACACAUAGCUCCCUCCCCUGAAGGAAUCAGACUUCUCCAUCAGGACUGCUCAAAGCCCAUGGAUAUUCUAAGAGAGGAAGAGAUGGCUCCAUGGGUAAAAAUAAUGGAAACGCAAGCAGGAGGUCCUGGGUUUGGAUCCCCAACUGUCAAGCAAAAGCCAAGCAUAACAACAUGUCUGCAAUGCCAGCACUGGUCACCCUGGAGACAAGCGAAUGUCAGGGCUCACUGGCCAGCCUAGCUGAAAUGUGAGCUCCAGGCUCUGAGAGAGCCUGCUGCAAAACAUAAGGAAAAGAUGGCUCCACUGCUAAAGUCACUCGCAGUUGUUGCAGAGGGCCUGAGUUCUCUUUCCAGUGCCCACAUUAAGGAAGAUCACAGUCGCAUCCAACUCAGGCUCCAGGACCCAAUGUCCUUGUCUCAAUUUCACAGGUAACCUCACUCACUUGCAUACAAGCACAUAUACACAUAGUUCUAAAAAAAUAGCAAAAAUAAAUCUUAAAACAAAAAUAAGGUAGAGUACUAAGUGAUACUUAAAGUCAACUUCUGACCAAGUGUGUCUGCACCUGAGUGCACACACAUACAGUGCACAUACACUGCACAUAGACCAGCAGUUCUCAACCUAUAGGUCAUGACCCCUUUGGGGGCUGUCAAAUAACUCACAGGGGUUACCUAAGGGCUAUGGGAAAAUACACAUAUUUGCAUUAUAAUUCAUAACAAAAUUACUGAAGUAGCAACAGAAUAAUUUUAUGGCUGCGAUCACCACAACACGAGGAGCCACGUUAAAGGGUCGUGGCAUUAGGAAGGUCGAGAACCACUGCCUUAGACCUUUCAAAAGGCACUCAAAGCCCUCAGCUCCAGACACAAAAGGACACCAUCAACCACAGAAUGGACAGAGGGAAACCCCUCAGACUAGAUGCAGAAUGCUGUGACCACAGAGCCUCCUGAACUCAGCUGCUGAGGCACCACAGUGAGGAGCACUGAUGUCAGAGUGGAACACCACCCCAUCACCCUCAGCUGCUGACUUCUGUCAAGGUCUUCAUUUGGGAGUCAGUGAACAUCAGUGGUACACAGUGCAGAGCACCCAGGCUUCUCAGGGCACACAGAGCCUCCCCAAGUAUAAACCCUGGUAGGUUAAAUGACAGAAAAUGGCCCCAAACAUCCUAAGUCAUUGUUACCAUCCUUGUUGGGUUUGCCCUGAACCAAGUUAGACCCUGAGCCCAGGGAUUGAAUAGUACUUGGGGAUGGUGUAAAUCUUUGGGGGUCCCUAGUCACAAAAGUGCUUUAAAUGUUUGUGUCAGGGCAAAUAUACUUCUUACCCCUGAUCAGAGAGAGAGGAAGAGAGAGAGAGAGAGAGAGAGAGAGAGAGAGAGAGAGAGAGAGAGAGAGAGCUUACCUCUAGCCAGUCCAUGCCUGGACGGAUGAGGGAAGACAGCACACACAUCUCCUCCUAGACGUUUGCUUGGGGUGAUAAAUAUCUCCGAUUUUUAUUGCGAAUGAGAUCUUUCUUGUCCAUUAUUUUUUCUUCUAAGCGGUUACUGUUGGACAUAGGAAAGGUAUUGAUUUUUUUCACAUUUAUUUUGUAGCUGGCUGCCUUACUGAACUCUCAUUAUUUCUAAUAGUUUUUCAGUUUGAAUUUCCCAAAGGGAAAGGGGUUUAAGCAGCAAGACAAGGUAAGCAAAAUUACAUGAAAUCCACUGUCACUACUGUCUGUGUUCUGUGGAAGUGUGGAAAGCUGGGAUAAGAAUACACGUGUUAUACAUGUGAACCCUGUUUCUAUGCACCCUGACAUCUCAGCAUCCUGCUUGCUCACUGCACUCCUGGAGGUGGUGUCUCUCCAAUAUAGUAAAGACAGCUUUGGAACCCAGACUCAGAGGAGUCCUCUGGGGGUUACAGGCUGGUAGUUCUAAUGUCCAGCCUUGUUGGAUGGCUGAGUGCCCAUCUGGGAAAAGCCCAGAGCAGGAGCCUUCUAAACCUGACUCUACCUGUCACUCUGGCCUCCCCUCUUACUACCUCAAUUACCCUAAUCUGGAAGCUACAGAUGACCACCCCCACAUGAGCAAUUCUCAGUCUGUAAGUCAUGAUCCCUUUGGAGGUCAAAUGAUUCUUUCACAGGAGUCAUAACAGUAGCAAGAUUACAGUUACAAAGUAGCAUCUUGAGGGCUAGCCUGCAAGCAUCCCUCCAGCCUGAGCAUCAACUGUGUGCAGGUGUGGGGAUCCUCACCUGGCCUGCCCUCAACUCUGUUCAGAGGGGCAUCAUUCCCUUGAGGACAGUAGUGACUGCAGAGGCUCAUGGCUGGUCAGAGGCUGAGCAGAAGUGACCGUGAGUGCUCAGCCCUAAGUGGGACAUGUUUAUAAACCCAAACAAAGGUUCAGGGAACAUCAGAGAAGAGCCGGAGGAUGGGGAGAGAGAUGGAAAUGCUGCCUUCAACACGAUGAGCUCACUGUAGCUAUGGCUAACUGCACAAGAGCAGGCCAACCAAAAUCCCAGUAUGGAUAGAGGAGGAGCUUAUGAGGUUGUACCCCUGACUUGGUGGGAGACAGCUCCUCAGGAGGGAGAAUCAUUCUUUGAGAGGUUUGGCUACUGGGAGGUUUCCCAUAUUGUAGUUGAUGGCCCCUCAUCCUUACACAUAUAGGCAACACUCACUGUACAUGGUGAGAAAGAAGGUGGGGAAACACAGUUGAGAGGUGAAUGUGGGAGGGGAUUUGGAGGGGCUAGCAGCAGAAAGUGGGGCUGUACAUGGUCAUAUUCAAUUAUAUUCACAAGUGAAAUAUCAAAGAACAACCACAAAAGGUCUAGUCCUAUCCUUAGAUGACCUCCAAGAGCAAACCAUUCUUGCACAUGGGCGUCACUGUCAGCACCUUGAGCUUUGGCCCUCUUGGCUGCACAUUUUGCUACUGACUCAGAGUUCAAGGUUCUGCCCAGACCCCUCUGAGACAGUGACUGUUGACUGUCAACUCGAUCGAACAGAAGAUCACCCAGGACAGUGUUUUUCAACCUUCCUAACCCUUCCUGUGGUCCUUUAAUUCAGUCCCUCAUGUUAUGUUGACGCCCCCAACUAUAAAAAUAUUUCAUUGCUACUUCAUAACUGUAAUCUUGUUACUGUUAUGACCCCUGUGAAAGAGUCAUUUGAUCAUCCUUACUGUCCUCGAGGGAAAGGACCACACUUCAGUGGUUAUUUCAUAACAUUUGAAAAGAAGUUUGUCUGGGGCUAAGACUAGAGCAGCACUGUCUGCAGUAGUGAGCAUUACAUCUCCAACACCUAACUUAGGUUUUUCUUCCUCCUUGUUGUUUCCUGGCUGACAAGAGGCAAACGGCUCCUACUUUUUGCUGUGGGACCUCGAGCUAGGCCCCAUUUCAUUUUCUGAUGGCAAGAAAUUGCCUUGAAUAUCUGUUUUGGAUCUGCAUUCCUGAACCCAGUGGUGGCCUUUGCUGCAUCACAUACACAUCCCAGGAAGUUUAAGCAUUCUUUGAGAUUUAGGAAAACAAUUGCCUCUAGAAAUGGUUUGCUCACUUUUCUGGUGCCAAGAACAGUAUUUCUUGAAGUUAAUGCACUGAGCAUUUUGAGAUGUGAGGCUUUUGGUUUGGUCACAGCCUCUUUACAGAUGACUGUAUUUCUUGCAAUUGAAGCACAGGACAUUUUGAUAUCUGAGACCUCUAACUAUAGCUUGACCUAUUAUAUUCGCAUAUAUAAUGGUUUGAAUAGGUUAGGCCUCCUUAGACUCAUGUGUUUGAAUGUCUGGACUAUGGAGAGUCACACUAUUAGGAGGUGUGUCCUUGUUAAAAUAGGUGUGGUCUUGUUGGAGGAAGCACUUCUCUGUGGGGUAGACUUUGAAGUCCUUUGUUCCAGCUCUGUCCAGUGCAAAAGAGGGAGGCUGUUUCUUGCCUGCUUUGAGAUCAAGAUAUAGAACUCUCAACUCCUUGUCUAGCACAUCUGCCUGGACACUGCCAUGCUUCCUGCCAUGAUGAUAAUGGACUGACCCUCUGAACCUAUAAGACAGCUCCAACUAAAUGUUUGCCUUUAUUAGAGUUCCCUUGGUCAUGGUGUCUCUUCACAGUAGUAAAACCAUAACUAAGAUAGCAUGGUAACGCAUUAGAACCAAUACUGGUCAUAUCCACAUGCCCAUAGGUGCUACUGCCCCCUUUAAUGGUCUAAUAUUCAUGGCUUCUUCCUUCUACCUGGUUAGCCACUGCAAUUCCAGACUAGCAUCAAGUAUAUAUAGCUGUUGCCAACCCCUUCCAGUCUUGAGGAAUAACUCUACUUCAUGUAGCUCAGUUAUUUAGAAUUUGUUCCACAUAAGGAGAAUGCACCCCAUAUGAAAUCAUGGCCUCUUAGCUCUAUCACUUCUGUAGGACACCAUCCUGUCUUGUUAUAACCUUGUUCACACCAUUAGCAGGCAUAUGCUGACUACUGAGGAAGCUGAUGGUGAUCUUGUCACCCUGGGCCACCCCUUUUCCUACUCUGGCAGUGCUGUUGGUUCAAGAUUAACCUUUCUUUCGAGAAACAGGCUGUUUCAUCAGAUUGUCCUCCUGCUUUUUUAGCUUUUCUCUGACCCAACCACCCUCUGCCAGUUUCUUUCCCUCUCCUCCUGUGGGAAACGCCUGCUCUCAGUCACCAGAACUGAGCCCUUUUGUUCUCUUUUUUCCCUGUGCUCCUCACCUACCCUGCACUUCCACCUCUGCCCACAACCUCUCCAGUUGCCUCCCCAACUCUGCAACUCAUUCAGAAAUGACAGAGUAGGGGCUGGAGAGAUGGCUCAGCAGUUAAGAGCACUGACUGCUCUUCCAGAGGUCCUGAGUUCAAUUCC
rnacentral:lncRNA from 1 species